AAUGUGUUGUAGGUCUCCUUUAGGUGAGAACGCAUUUUCACUAGGCUGGUCAGCUGAAAAUUAGCUGGAGAUUUCAACAACAAUUGAAAUUAAACGAGUUGUUGAUUUGGCAGCCAAAUUCUGCUGAAAACGGCGAAAGCUCUUCAACUCCUGCUCUUCAACUCUUCCUCAAUCGACGACCGAUAAGCUUGUGAUUGUAAGGGUUAAGCGCAAAUUUAUCCCUUUGGUUUCGUCGAUGCUUUUUGUAUGUCAUUUCUUUUCAUCCUUUCAUUUCUUUACCCUUUUUUAUGUUUCCUUUUGCUUCCAUUAUAAAUUAAAAUGCAAUUUUGAAACUUAAGGAAUUCUCAUGUAGUCUGUUGCAGGGCUGGAAAUUAAUGAGAGACCUUUGAAACGCCCCUUUUUUUAUUUUGAGAAACUAACGAUAUCUGAAUUGUCCCAAAGAGGGUUUUCUUUUCCCGAUUAAAUUUAAGGGUCAUUCUUAAUUUGCAUGCUCCAUAAUUUAGAAAUUUCUAAAAUUGAAGCAAUGAUGUUGUUUUGCAUUAGAGGAGUUGAAGAGUAAGAAAGUAUUUUUUCUGUUCAUCUUAUGGGUUUCAUCAUUUGUUCUGAUUUUAAUGUGAAUAGAUUAUCUUGUUCGUGCUUUACAAUUUUGGGUGCUUGCCAAUAUAUUGGUUUCUGUGGUAGUGAAUGUUGACUGAGAAUAAAAAACUACUAGUAGCCACAGUCUAGGACGUGUGACUGGCUAAUUAAAGUACAUAGGAACCAGUAAAAGAGGCCUUCCCUUCCAGUUUCUGUUUGGAGUGAUAACUUCCCUUUUAGGAAACUUGGAAACAUUCUUUAAUUAGCAAAUGAUUGUUUCUAUAGAGAAAGUCUAAGUUUAUCCAUUAUGUUUGUGCAGAUGCUUAUUUUUAGAACCUUUUGAGCAAUAAUCCAUAGGAAAAGAUUUUCAUCAUUUGUUCUGAUUUAUGAGUAGUUUUACAGUCUCAGCCUUUAGAAAUUAUGUUGACAAUAUUAAACUAAAGAGAAAAAUGGAGAGUGAAGAGCAGUAAGUAAAAUGUAAAAUGAUGAAUGUAUACCCUCAAAUCUUGAAUUUGGAUCCAAGUAACAUAAAAUGGAACGGAGCUCUCAAGAAAAAAAAAACCCUUGACAUGUUACCUUCUUAGUUUUUAAUUAGGAAACUAUGCCCUCUUUUUUCUUUUCUUUUUUUGCGAUUGGGGACUUGUUCCAUGUGGUUACUAUAUUAAACAAAUUAAGUUUGCUUAAUUAAUUAGAAAGAGCUAAUUAAAUUAACUGAUGGAUUUGCAUUGUUCCAUGGCUUUUUUUGGUAGUAAAUAUUUGCAACUGUCAGCUUCAUCUUUAACGCACAUGAUCGUGAUUUGUAUAUUGCUUGGGAGAAAGGGUAGCAAACUCAAACAUAUUACAGUUUUUAGAUUUGUAGUUUUCCUGAAUAAGUUGAUGCAAAUGGAACCCAAUACUAAUAAAGUUUUAUGCAUUUCUUGGCCAUCAUUUUCUAUUUUUAAUUUCCCAUAACCACCUUCAAUUUCCCAUGCCUUAAUUAUAAGGGAUGAUUGAUUUCUAAACAUGGGAAAAAUAACCCUCCAUUUCCUCACUAAACCAAUAAAACUUUGCCCAUUUUUAAUAGAAGAAUAUAUUUAUACCACCCCUUCCCACUUCUAAGGUCACUUUCUCAAACCUUGAAAUACUUAUAUGUGUCAUAUACAAAUAUCUUCAAUUUAUUUUAAUUUUUUUAAUGAAUUUAUAUGCUUCUUUUAACUCAAAUUUGAACAUGAUCGUAUUACAUUUUCUUCUGUGAAAAGGAAAAAAAUUAUGUUCCUGAGUAUAGUUGGCUGUUGAAUUCUGCAUUUAUUGAUGCCAUAAUCUUGAGUGAUUAAAUGCAUGCUUUUUUUGAGACUAAAAUAAAAAUUUGAUGACUAGUGUUGCUAAGAAAAACCAACUGCUCAAGUUUGCUUACACUUUUGAAAAAAUAGUCAUAAUCAAUUAUCCUUUCUAUAUCCUCGUUAUUGUUUACUAUGGAUCUUUGAGAAUUUUUUUUUAGUGUUCAUAUUAUGGCUUUCAUCCAUUCGUGAUGUGUUAUUCUUAUUUUUUUAUGAAACUAUAUUAUUAUAUCUAAUUAUAUAUUUAUAGUUUUAUGUCGGUUGACAUUUAAAAUCAAAAUAAUAAUAAUAGAUGGUAAAGACACGAAAUUUUGUGGAGGGAGAUAGUACCUUAGCAACAAAAACUGUUUGGGAUGAUGAGGUGACGUUGAUAUUUUGUGAACUUUGCGUGAAUGAAGUCAAUGCUGGUAAUAGACCGACAACUCAUUUAAACUCAAAAGGAUGGGAAAAUGUCAUUGCUCUUUUUCAAGCAAAAACACAAAAAAAUUAUGGAAAACCUCAAUUGAAAAAUAAGUGGGAUACAUUAAAAAAUGAAUGGAGGUUAUGGAGGGAGUUGCUUAAGGAAUAUACAGGUAUUGGAUGGUGUCCAUCUAAAAAGACAGUCGAUGCUACCAAAGAAUGGUGGGCUGAGAAAAUACAGGUUAGUGUUAACGUUAUCAUUAUUUUAAUGCAUAAAGUUUAUUGAAAUUAAUAAUUUACAAAUAUAAAAAUCUUAGUAUAACAUUUAACAUUUAGCAUGUUAUGUAGAAAAAUCAUGAUUUUAAAGGAUUUAAGAAGAAAGGAAUUGAACCACGAUUGAAUGAGUUAAUGUGGCAAAUGUUUGGUGGCAUUGUAACUACUAGAGAGAAUGCAUGGGCACCUUCGUCUGGUGUUCCUUCAAGUGGGGUUCCUAUGGGAGAUAAUACACCUAAUGAGUGAUUUGGUGAUUCAGAUGAACAUAGUAAUGAGAAUGAAGGUAGUCCUCCUAAUGAGGUACCCUCAAACCCUUCUCAUGAAACUCCUAAUCAAAGAAAACAAACACUUGGGGUUGUACACGGUAAAGGAAAAAAAAUCAAGUUCAAGUAGAAAAUCAUCAAGAAAUACAUUAACUACUCAGAUUGAGAAAUUGUGUGAGAGUAUGGCUAGUCCAAGGAAGUCAGUGAAUGAAAUUAUUUUUCCUCACUCUCAAUAUAUUAUUUCAAAUGCAAUGGAUGCUUUGCGUGCUUUGGAAGAUGAAAUUCCAAAAAAAGAUGAACUGUACUAUUUUGCCAUCAAAAUGUUCCAAAUACCGGUGAAACAAGAAAUGCUUUUGAACUUAGAUCCAGAUGUCAGGAUUUGGUGGCUUCGACGUGAGUAUGCUGAACAAAAUCCAAUUGCAUCAUUUUCAUCCUUGGUAGUAACAUCCUUAUGUCCCUUCUAACCAUACCAUCAACCACCUCCACCAUAAACUCCUUAGAAUUAUUAUUGUAAUAUAACUAUACUACUUUUUUAUAUGUAAAACUAAUGUAUGAUAUUUUUUAUGUUUGGUAUUUUUAUACUAUGCUUUUAUUUAAGUUUCUGUGUUGUAUAGAAUGUCACAAAAUAUAGUGUAUAAUAGUUUUGAUAUGAAUUAUGAUACCCCUGAAUUAAGUGAAGAAGCUCAACGAAGAAUAGCCAUAAUUGUUACACAAGUUGAGCACAACAAUUAUCAUGAAGAGGAAGAAUGUGUUAAGCAGUGUAUUGGUACAGCAUGAAACUUAUUUCACUAUGCAACCGUGUAUGAAUUCAAAUUAUACAGGUCAAAUGUGGGUGGACGAAGUAUUAAAUGGGCAUGAUGAUCGUUGCAUGAAUAGUUUUAGGAUGCCAAAAAAUAUAUUUCACAGCUUGUUGCAUGAUUUGCAAACAAAUUAUGGCUUAAAGCAUGGGAAAGUAUCGGCGAUGGAGAAGUUAGCAUUAUCAUUGUACAUGCUUGGAAAUAGAGAAUCAAAUUCAAAUGCAGCAGAGCAAUUUCAACGAUCUGGGGAAACUGUUAGUCGAAUUUUUACUGAUAUGUUGCAUAUAUUUGCUCGAAUGGGAAUAGACACGAUUACACCCAUUGAAGGUCAAUUCGAACAAGUACCGAACCAUAUUCGACAUGAUACAAGAUAUUGGUCUCACUUUAAGGACUGUAUUGGGGCCAUAGAUGGAACACACAUAAAAGCAUGCAUUGCGCAUUCUUGUCAAAUACCUUAUAUCGGACGGAAAGGUGAACCAACUCAAAAUAUUAUGGCAGUUUGUGACUUCAACAUGUGCUUUAUUUUUGCAUUUCCUGGUUGGGAAGGAACAACACAUGACAGUUGAAUUUUUUUGCAAGCACUUAGAAAACAAGAGUUAAAGUUUCCACACCCUCCACCAGGAAAAUAUUAUCUUGUGGAUUCAGGAUAUCCACAAAUGGCAAGUUUUCUACGUCCAUAUAGGGGGAACGAUAUCAUUUACCUGAUUUUCGUCGAGACAUGCUUGGUCAAAUGAUGAGGAUUUUCGACAAUUUGAGAAUAUACCCGACAUGCCAGUCUCUUCAGGCUAUUUUGAUAGAGGUGAAUCGAGUUCUUCUAACAGUGAAAGUGACCUUGAAAUUGUGAUGUUAAGGGAAACUAUUGCACAUAGUUUAAUGAAUCCAUACUUAUAAAAAUAUUUUGUAUCAUAACCUAAUUUCUAGUAAUAAUGAAACUUGUUAUGUCUUAUGUUACUAUAUUUUUUAUUAAAAACCGUUCGUUUAGAUA